rnacentral:lncRNA from 1 species
ACAUGCUAAGUUUUUGAUGAAUGUUGUAGAAGAAGCUGAUAAGCUGAGGAUGGAGACUUUGAAGGAGCUGGUGAUCAACAUACUGAGUCCACUUCAAGCUGUGGAUUUUCUCAUAGCUAGCAAGAAGCUCCAUCUUUGUGUCAAUGCUUGGGGUAAAACAAGAGAUCAUCAACAUGGGAGGAACAGAGAAACAACACAAGAGAGGAACACAUGUCCAACUUUAUCUUGUCUUGAAAAUUAAAACAAGGGAGUUAAACCGCUUAUGUACAUAUAUGGAAUAAAUGUUUAGUUGUUACUAAUUAAGUCGGCAUUAUUUUUACUAACUUCUUUCAAUCUUUGUGUGACUACCGAUCAAGCUUAAAAAGACCAAUAAUAGCUUUCUUAACAUGCGAAUAUUAAAAUUGAGAGGAAAGUAGUUUCUUUGAAGGGGGAAAUAACAAUAAUCAACUAACCUUAACCUUCAAUUGAUCAAAUUCGAUGAUUUUGACCCAAUCACUAACAGAAGUCCAAAACAGUAACAAACAUUUUAAUCCUAUGAAGGGCAAAACGCCUAGAAGAAAACAUUUUUGAAAUUUUACACCGCAUCCCCCAAUGUGGGCACAUUUUCUCAAAUUGUCGAGAAUAAUAUGACAAGACAAGGAGUAGCAGAAACAAAAUUGUUCAUCUUUCCAUUCAUGUAUACAGAAUUCAAGUUAUAUCUACUGAAACUACAAAAAUACAUUCUUUUACACCAUUAGUGCACUCUUACUGAUCCAAACUGUUGUCCACUAUCUUUUGUAAGUUACAAACUCAUACACACUAUUUUAUACUCUUUCGGAGAUCGAUCGUAGUAACAAUUUCUUUUACAUAAAUCAAAAUAAAGUAAACAAUAUCGAAUUAGUUUAGGGAUUAAUUUGCAAGAAACAUACCUGUUGUGGAUGAGCGGAGAGAAAGAGUUGUAACAAUGACAGUCCGCAGCAGCAUUGGGAAAAAGCUCUACCAAUUGUGAGAAAGCCCUCAGAUUCCAAGAAGGGAUUUGAGGAAGAACAGGUUAGGGAUUUUGGGUUGGGCUUCCGGGUCGGUCCUUCUUUCUAUUUUCAUUUUCUUUUCGUUUUUUCUCCCCGCCU